GCAUUUAAGCGUUUUUUGCUUCUUCUUUAUUCUUUUCUGUCUUCGGACCCUAGCCACCGCCAGCCUCUGCACGCCGCCAUUUUCGCCGUGCCGGCUCCGCUUUUUUGUGUUCUGUUAGUUACCGCGCCACUUCUGUUCUCUCCUUCUUCAGAUUUCUCCUGCUGAUGAUGGUACAUCUCAUGAAAGAAUGACACAUGGAUCCAGAAGGCAAGAAGUUUGGAGGAGGACCAAGGGAAUUGACAGGGGCUGUGGAUCUUAUAAAUCAUUUCAAAUUGCUACCCCACUAUGAGUUUUUCUGCAAGAGGUCACUUCCUGAGUCAAUCUUGGACACACAGUAUCUUUACAAUGUCGUGGGAGACACAGAAAUCAGAAAAGGAGAUAAUAUGCAGUUGGAUCAACUUAUUCAAACUCCAUCCUUCUCAAGAGAUACAGCUGCUCGUAUACAGCCUUUUGACUUAGAUAUUCUAAAGGAAACCUUUCAACUUAGGGAAACAGGUCCCAUUGAUUUGCCUCCAGGUGAGAAGGGAGCUCCCACAAUUGCUGGAAAAUCAAAAAGUGAGUCUAAAGACAAGGAGAAAAGGCAUAAAAAGCAUAAGGGCAGGGACAAAGAGAAGGACAAGGAGCAUAAGAAGCACAAGCAUCGUCAUAAAGACCGAAGCAAAGAUAAAGACAAGGAAAAAAAGAAGGAUACAAGUGGCCAUCAAGUUUCCAGUGUUGAUCAUGGCAAGAAACACCAUGAAAAGAAAAGGAAGCAUGAUGGAGAUGAAGAUCUUAUUGAUGUACACAAGCACAAGAAAAGUAAGCAUAAGAGCUCAAAGAUUAAUGAAUUGGGGGCGAUAAAGGUAGCUGGCUGAAUGGUCACAUACUGAAGUUCACUUCUUUUCCUUAUAUGAUUAUUGUCUUCUGUAAAGUUUGAAGGCAUCUUUGACUUGAAAUUAUCAAAUUUUUUGAGAUCCAAUUUGAUUGUAGACAACUUCAGUUAUGGCCAUGCGACGAAAAAGAAUUUGGCAAGGUUUUACAUCUUCAAAAUUCUUGACUUGAACUCUUUUCUUUCCCAUCCUAGUAAUGGUGUCCUGGGAAAAGUGCUUUGCUUCGUUUCUCUAGCUAUGAACUUGAAGAACAACAUGCUUUUACAUAGUCAUACCCAGUCGAACAAAUUCAAGAGGAUUGUAUGAAUGAAUAUUCAAACCUUUUAAAUUGUUCCCAAUACUUGUUAGACCAAUAGGGAUUUUAUUUUUUAUUGCAAUCCCUUGGGAGGUGCUUUUUACCUCCGUAAAAGCUCUUCUUGUGAAUAAGUUGUCCUUCAUCUCGACUUCUCUGUAUACCUUGAUUUCAACGUUGAAUGUUUUUUAUUCAUGCACAUUUAUCCUCUAAA